UACGUAGGGGUCGAGCGUUGUCCGGAGUUACUGGGCGUAAAGCGCACGCAGGCGGUCUGCUAAGUUUGGAGUGACAGUUGGUGGCUUAACUGCCAAAGUGCUUCGAAAACUGACAGACUUGAGGGCUUCAGAGGGACACGGAAUUCCGGGUGGAGUGGUGAAAUGCGUAGAGAUCCGGAGGAACACCAAAGGCGAAGGCAGUGUCCUGGGGAGUACCUGACGCUCAUGCACGACAGCGUGGGGGAUCAAACAGG
rnacentral:rRNA from 1 species